UACGAAGGGGGCUAGCGUUGCUCGGAAUCACUGGGCGUAAAGGGUGCGUAGGCGGGUCUUUUAAGUCAGGGGUGAAAUCCUGGAGCUCAACUCCAGAACUGCCUUUGAUACUGAAGAUCUUGAGUUCGGGAGAGGUGAGUGGAACUGCGAGUGUAGAGGUGAAAUUCGUAGAUAUUCGCAAGAACACCAGUGGCGAAGGCGGCUCACUGGCCCCGAUACUGACGCUGAGGCACGAAAGCGUGGGGAGCAAACAGG
rnacentral:rRNA from 1 species